rnacentral:rRNA from 1 species
GACGAACGCUGGCGGCGCGCCUAACACAUGCAAGUCGAACGAGCGAGAGAGAGCUUGCUUUCUCGAGCGAGUGGCGGACGGGUGGGUAACGCGUGAGGAAACUGCCUCAAAGGGGGGGACAACAGGUGGAAACGACUGCUAAUACCGCAUAGGCCCACGACGCGGCCACGGGUAGGGGGAAAAGGAGCAAUCGGCUUUGAGGUGGCCUCGCGUCCGAGUCGCUCGGUGGUGCGGUAACGGCCCACCAAGGCGACGAACGGUCGCCGGACUGGGAGGUUGAACGGCCACAUUGGGACUGCGACACGGCCCAGACUCCUGCGGGAGGCAGCAGUGGGGAAUAUUGCACAAUGGGGGAAACCCUGAUGCAGCGACGCCGCGUGGAGGAAGAAGGUCUUCGGAUUGUAAACGCCUGUUGUGGGGGAAGAUAAUGACGGUACUCAACAAGGAAGUGACGGCUAACUACGUG